GUUGUGGUGGCUCACUGGUUAAGGUUUUGAGUUACAGAUUAGAAGGUCUGGGUUCAAAUCCCAGACUGCCAUA